UACGUAGGUGGCAAGCGUUGUCCGGAUUUAUUGGGCGUAAAGAGCGUGUAGGCGGCCAGGUAGGUCUGCUGUGAAAACUCGAGGCUCAACCUCGAGACGUCGGCGGAAACCAUCUGGCUAGAGUCCGGAAGAGGAGAGUGGAAUUCCUGGUGUAGCGGUGAAAUGCGCAGAUAUCAGGAAGAACACCCGUGGCGAAGGCGGCUCUCUGGGACGGUACUGACGCUGAGACGCGAAAGCGUGGGGAGCGAACAGG
rnacentral:rRNA from 1 species